rnacentral:rRNA from 1 species
AACGAACGCUGGCGGCAGGCUUAACACAUGCAAGUCGAACGCAUCCUUCGGGGUGAGUGGCAGACGGGUGAGUAACGCGUGGGAACGUGCCCCUCAGUUGGGAUAACCCAGGGAAACUUGGGCUAAUACCGGAUACGUGCGAGAGCAGAAAGAUUUAUCGCUGAAGGAUCGGCCCGCGUCUGAUUAGCUAGUUGGUGGGGUAAUGGCCCACCAAGGCGACGAUCAGUAGCUGGUCUGAGAGGAUGAUCAGCCACAUUGGGACUGAGACACGGCCCAACCUCCUACGGGAGGCAGCAGUGGGGAAGAUUGGACAAUGGGCGCAAGCCUGAUCCAGCCAUGCCGCGUGAGUGAUGAAGGCCUUAGGGUUGUAAAGCUCUUUCGUCCGGGACGAUAAUGACGGUACCGGAAGAAGAAGCCCCGGCUAACUUCGUGCCAGCCGCCGCCGUAA